AUUGAACGCUGGCGGCAGGCCUAACACAUGCAAGUCGAGCGAGCGGCGGACGGGUGAGUAAUGUCUGGGAAACUGCCUGAUGGCGGGGGAUAACUACUGGAAACGGUAGCUAAUACCGCAUACCAUCAGAUGUGCCCAGCUGGGAUUAGCUAGUGGGUGGGGUAACGGCUCACCUAGGCGACGAUCCCUAGCUGGUCUGAGAGGAUGACCAGCCACACUGGAACGGACACACGGUCCACACUCCUACGGGAGGCACCAGUGGGGAAUAUUGCACAAGUGUCGCAAGCCUGAUGCAGCCAUGCGGCGUGUAUGAAGAAGGCCUUCGGGUUGUAAAGUACUUUCAGCGGGGAGGCGUUACCCGCAGAAGAAGCACCGGCUAACUCCGUGCCAGCAGCCGCGGUAAUUC
rnacentral:rRNA from 1 species